AUUGAACGCUGGCGGCAGGCCUAACACAUGCAAGUCGAGCGGAUGAAGGGAGCUUGCUCCUGGAUUCAGCGGCGGACGGGUGAGUAAUGCCUAGGAAUCUGCCUGGUAGUGGGGGAUAACGUCCGGAAACGGGCGCUAAUACCGCAUACGUCCUGAGGGAGAAAGUGGGGGAUCUUCGGACCUCACGCUAUCAGAUGAGCCUAGGUCGGAUUAGCUAGUUGGUGGGGUAAAGGCCUACCAAGGCGACGAUCCGUAACUGGUCUGAGAGGAUGAUCAGUCACACUGGAACUGAGACACGGUCCAGACUCCUACGGGAGACAGCAGUGGGGAAUAUUGGACAAUGGGCGAAAGCCUGAUCCAGCCAUGCCGCGUGUGUGGAGAAGGUCUUCGGAUUGUAAAGCACUUUAAGUUGGGAGGAAGGGCAGUAAGUUAAUACCUUGCUGUUUUGACGUUACCAACAGAAUAAGCACCGGCUAACUUCGUG
rnacentral:rRNA from 1 species